UCUUGGAGCCAGAGCCGCGUAAGAGACCUC
rnacentral:piRNA from 1 species